rnacentral:rRNA from 1 species
AUUUUGAACCGCAUGGUUCAAAAGUGAAAGACGGUCUUGCUGUCACUUAUAGAUGGAUCCGCGCUGCAUUAGCUAGUUGGUAAGGUAACGGCUUACCAAGGCAACGAUGCAUAGCCGACCUGAGAGGGUGAUCGGCCACACUGGAACUGAGACACGGUCCAGACUCCUACGGGAGGCAGCAGUAGGGAAUCUUCCGCAAUGGGCGAAAGCCUGACGGAGCAACGCCGCGUGAGUGAUGAAGGUCUUCGGAUCGUAAAACUCUGUUAUUAGGGAAGAACAUAUGUGUAAGUAACUGUGCACAUCUUGACGGUACCUAAUCAGAAAGCCACGGCUAACUACGUGCCAGCAGCCGCGGUAAUACGUAGGUGGCAAGCGUUAUCCGGAAUUAUUGGGCGUAAAGCGCGCGUAGGCGGUUUUUUAAGUCUGAUGUGAAAGCCCACGGCUCAACCGUGGAGGGUCAUUGGAAACUGGAAAACUUGAGUGCAGAAGAGGAAAGUGGAAUUCCAUGUGUAGCGGUGAAAUGCGCAGAGAUAUGGAGGAACACCAGUGGCGAAGGCGACUUUCUGGUCUGUAACUGACGCUGAUGUGCGAAAGCGUGGGGAUCAAACAGGAUUAGAUACCCUGGUAGUCCACGCCGUAAACGAUGAGUGCUAAGUGUUAGGGGGUUUCCGCCCCUUAGUGCUGCAGCUAACGCAUUAAGCACUCCGCCUGGGGAGUACGACCGCAAGGUUGAAACUCAAAGGAAUUGACGGGGACCCGCACAAGCGGUGGAGCAUGUGGUUUAAUUCGAAGCAACGCGAAGAACCUUACCAAAUCUUGACAUCCUUUGACAACUCUAGAGAUAGAGCCUUCCCCUUCGGGGGACAAAGUGACAGGUGGUGCAUGGUUGUCGUCAGCUCGUGUCGUGAGAUGUUGGGUUAAGUCCCGCAACGAGCGCAACCCUUAAGCUUAGUUGCCAUCAUUAAGUUGGGCACUCUAAGUUGACUGCCGGUGACAAACCGGAGGAAGGUGGGGAUGACGUCAAAUCAUCAUGCCCCUUAUGAUUUGGGCUACACACGUGCUACAAUGGACAAUACAAAGGGCAGCGAAACCGCGAGGUCAAGCAAAUCCCAUAAAGUUGUUCUCAGUUCGGAUUGUAGUCUGCAACUCGACUACAUGAAGCUGGAAUCGCUAGUAAUCGUAGAUCAGCAUGCUACGGUGAAUACGUUCCCGGGUCUUGUACACACCGCCCGUCACACCACGAGAGUUUGUAACACCCGAAGCCGGUGGAGUAACCUUUUAGGAGCUAGCCGUCGAAGGUGGGACAAAUGAUUGGGGUGAAGUCGUAACAAGGUAGCCGUAUCGGAAGGUGCGGCUGGAUCACCUCCUUU